rnacentral:rRNA from 1 species
AUUGAACGCUGGCGGCAUGCCUUACACAUGCAAGUCGAACGGCAGCACGGAGCUUGCUCUGGUGGCGAGUGGCGAACGGGUGAGUAAUAUAUCGGAACGUACCCUAGAGUGGGGGAUAACGUAGCGAAAGUUACGCUAAUACCGCAUACGAUCUAAGGAUGAAAGUGGGGGAUCGCAAGACCUCAUGCUCGUGGAGCGGCCGAUAUCUGAUUAGCUAGUUGGUAGGGUAAAAGCCUACCAAGGCAUCGAUCAGUAGCUGGUCUGAGAGGACGACCAGCCACACUGGAACUGAGACACGGUCCAGACUCCUACGGGAGGCAGCAGUGGGGAAUUUUGGACAAUGGGCGAAAGCCUGAUCCAGCAAUGCCGCGUGAGUGAAGAAGGCCUUCGGGUUGUAAAGCUCUUUUGUCAGGGAAGAAACGGUGAGAGCUAAUAUCUCUUGCUAAUGACGGUACCUGAAGAAUAAGCACCGGCUAACUACGUGCCAGCAGCCGCGGUAAUACGUAGGGUGCAAGCGUUAAUCGGAAUUACUGGGCGUAAAGCGUGCGCAGGCGGUUUUGUAAGUCUGAUGUGAAAUCCCCGGGCUCAACCUGGGAAUUGCAUUGGAGACUGCAAGGCUAGAAUCUGGCAGAGGGGGGUAGAAUUCCACGU